rnacentral:rRNA from 1 species
CCUGAGAAACCCAAAAGAUCGAAUGGGGAGAUUCAUCGUCAACCUCUUUGGCUUACGUGUGGACGCGAUGUCGCUCGGCUUCGGCUGGGCGGCACGCGUUCGCUGCGGCAUGUCCGGAGAGGUCGGCGUGCACUUCUCCCCUAGUAGGACGUCGCGACCCGUUGGGUGCUUGUCUACGGUCCGGUAGGUCGACUGGCGAGUCUCGCGCAAGCUUGAUCUCGUCAGACCUCUGGUUUCCCGAUUGGCUGCCCGACGGUAUUGAACGAUAAUUAACAAGGUAUUGGGCCGCACCAAGUGCGUUCAGGCCCGUCGUCAGGCUCGCCUCGCUCGGAUUUACGAACCUAAGUUUCGUUGUCGGGCGCUUGGCGUGGCUGUUGGGCGGCGGUGUCCUCGGACUGGCUCUUAAUAUUCGAACGGAUAUACCUGUCGGCGACGCUACUGCUUUGGGUACUUUCAGGAC